rnacentral:rRNA from 1 species
UACGAAGGGGGCUAGCGUUGCUCGGAAUCACUGGGCGUAAAGGGUGCGUAGGCGGGCCUUUAAGUCAGGGGUGAAAUCCUGGAGCUCAACUCCAGAACUGCCUUUGAUACUGAAGAUCUUGAGUUCGGGAGAGGUGAGUGGAACUGCGAGUGUAGAGGUGAAAUUCGUAGAUAUUCGCAAGAACACCAGUGGCGAAGGCGGCCAACUGGUCCGAUACUGACGCUGAGGCGCGAAAGCGUGGGGAGCAAACAGG